rnacentral:ncRNA from 1 species
UUAUAGUUUAUAAAAUUUAUUUUAAAUUUAUUUUACAUAUAAAUUUUAGUAUUAAAUAUUAAUUAUUUUAAAAAUGAUUAAUUUUAUUAAGUAGUAAUUAAUAUUAAUAAUUUAAGAAAUUAAGAUUUAGUAAUAUUUAAAUUAAAAACUAAUUUUGUGCCAGCAGUUGCGGUUAAACAAAAUUUAAAAUAAAUUUUUUUAGUAAAAUUAAUUAAUAAUAUAUUAUAUUUAAAAUAAAUAUUAAAUUAUUAAGUGAAAUUUUAAUUUAAUAAAAUUUUAUGUAGAAAUUAUGAAAUUAAUAAGUUAUAUUAAAAACUAGGAUUAGAUACCCUAUUAUUAAUAAAUUAAAAUGUAAUACUAAAAUAGUAUUUAAUUAUUUAUUGAAACUUAAGUAAUUUGGCGGUAUUUUAGUUCAUUUAGAGGAAUCUGUUUAAUAAUUGAUAAUCCACGAAUAAAUUUACUUAAUUUUUAAUUUUGUAUAUCGUUGUUAAAAAAAUAUUUUUAUUAAAAAAUAAUAUUUAAAAAUUAAAAUGAAAAUUAAAUCAAAUCAAGAUGCAGAUUAUAAUUAAGAAUAUAAUGGAUUACAAUAAAUUUAUUUAAAUAAAUAUUAAUUUGAAAAAAUUAAUUGAAAGUGGAUUUAAAUGUAAUUUUAUUUAAUUUAAUAAAAUGAUUAAAAAUUAAAAUAUGUACAUAUUGCCCGUCGCUUUCAUAUAUAUAUAUAUAUAUAUAUAUAUUAAAAUAAAAUGAAAUAAGUCGUAACAAAGUAGAGGUACUGGAAAGUGUUUCUAGAAAGAA